rnacentral:misc_RNA from 1 species
AACGCACCUUGCGCUCCUUGGUAUUCCGAGGAGCAUGCCUGUUUGAGUGUCUUGAAGUCAUCAACCCCUCCCGUUUCGUGCGGAGAGGUGAGUUGGAGCUGGGGGCUUGCGGCCGAGAGGUCGCUCCCCUCAAAUGCUUCGGUUGGGCCUGUGGGUCGAACUCGGUUGGGCGUUGUAACAACCUCGCUCUCGUCCGAGAAGUUCCCCUGUCAUCGUGCCCCUCCACGACCGUCGGACUGUGCGGCGGUCAAAAAACAAACUUUGAAAUCUGACCUCAAAUCAGGUAGGACUACCCGCUGAACUUAA